GAUGAAGAACGUAGCGAAAUGCGAUAAGUAAUGUGAAUUGCAGAAUUCAGUGAAUCAUCGAAUCUUUGAACGCACAUUGCGCCCAUUAGUAUUCUAGUGGGCAUGCCUGUUCGAGCGUCAUUAAGUCCACUUAAGCCUAGCUUAGUGUUGGGAGACUGCUCCAGUGGUGCUACCCUGUAGCUACCCUGCAGCUCCUUAAAGACAGCGGCGGAGUCGUGUUAUCCUCUGAGCUUAGUAAAUCAUUCUAGCUUUCGAGAGUAUCACUUCACCUGCCGUUAAACCACCUAAUUUUUAUGGUUGACCUCGGAUCAGGUAGGAAUACCCGCUGAACUUAAGCAUAUCAAUGAGCGGAGGA
rnacentral:misc_RNA from 1 species